AUCCAGUUGACGAGUCCCAAAUAGGGAGAAACGCGCAUCAAACUGGAU
rnacentral:hammerhead_ribozyme from 1 species